rnacentral:rRNA from 1 species
GUGUCAGCAGCCGCGGUAAUACGUAGGUGGCAAGCGUUGUCCGGAUUUAUUGGGUUUAAAGGGUGCGUAGGCGGCCUUAUAAGUCAGUGCUGAAAUAUCCCGGCUUAACCGGGAGGGUGGCAUUGAUACUGUAGGGCUUGAGUGUAGUCGAGGUAGGCGGAAUUGACGGUGUAGCGGUGAAAUGCUUAGAUAUCGUCAAGAACACCGAUAGUGUAGACAGCUUACUAGGCUACAACUGACGCUGAGGCACGAAAGUGUGGGGAUCAAACAGGAUUAGAAACCCUGGUAGUCC